rnacentral:lncRNA from 1 species
UCCCUACAGCAAUUUUUACAAGGCUUUGUGCUUUUCAGCAGGAGCGCUAACUUCUACCACAGAGGCAAAAGGCUACACCAGUGCCACGGCAUUCAGCGAGGCUUUGACAACAGCACGUAACCUGUCCUACAGCAUCACAGAUCAGACAAUUUCAGUUACCAGAGGAAAAGAUUUCUUUCCUACCAGCAGCCUGCUGAACACUACUGGUGACAGGAGGAACGCCAAAGCCAGUGGCUUCCCCUGGCCAACAGUGGCAGCUGUCCUGCUCCUCCUCUGCAGCACUCUGGUAGCUUUAGGCAUCAGGAAAUCGUGUCAGUACCAGAAAGAGAUUAUGAACAGACGUCCAUCUUUUAAGCCACCGCCACCUCCAAUAAAGCACACCUCCAUGGUAGAGUCUGAUGGGACUCCCCCAUCCUGCCACGAACUAGAAAGCCUGUAACACCACCUGCACCCCUUGUGUAGCACACAGAAGACUAGCACAGUUAAAAGGCUCUGCCUUUGGAACAGUGGUUACAGGAGCUUGGUGGUAAUGACACAUUAAAAAUCAGAGCUCCUACAUGACAUUAAUUUUGGAAGCUGAGCACUUCUUGGGAGACUCCUUUCAUCCUGUGUAUCUCUAUGUAUGCACUACAUUCGUAGUAAGUGUCGCUGUGAGAUUACACAUGCUUAAUUUGAAUUGGGUGAUGAACUAGGAAUUUGCUAUCUUGUCCAUGGUAGCAGAUUAACACAUGAGUCUGCCAGCCUGACUGAAGAGUGUUGAAGCUUGUCCAUCUAUUCAAUGUAUACAGAUGACAACUCUGCUGUAUGAACAUCACAGGUACACAGCAAACAGUGGCUGAACACAAGAUUUUGAGACCUACACGAGCUGUUAUUGCAAUUAUUUAUUUUUUAUUGUGGACUAAUAUAACCCAACAUGUAAUUUUCUAUCACUGUGAAACCAAAAGAAAGAAUCAGCACCAUACACAGACAGAAAAUACCCUGCAUCUCUUGGCACAGGAUUGCAGCACUGGAUCAUAGAGGGAGGUUGGUGAGAUGAAAGAUCACCAGCCCCACUGCAAGUGUAUGCAGAGAAGUCCCAGCUGUCAUUGGUGAAGUCACAAGAAAGUCAAUUUUGGUCCAGAGUCUUAAGGACUGAAGCAAGCCUAGAGUUAAUGGAAAAUUCUAGUCCUUUUGGAAGCGCUAUGCCUUUGAAAUAAUACUUACUUUUAAGUCUGCUUUUCAGAAAUUAUAUUUACAGUAUAUGUGAAGGAAAGAAAUGUACUACUUUUAUUUUUCUUUGGUCUUAAUGAGCUUUCAUCACAUACUAUCUUCACAUUUUCCAAGACCUCAGGGGCAGUUUCCCAGGUGAACUUAAGCGUAAACUUAAGCCACAGGCUUAGGCCUGUGAAAGAGAUGAUCCAGUCUUCCCCCUGUCCUGCCCAAGCUACAGAUUUCCUCAUAUUGACACUAAUGAAUAAAUGACGGUGCAGUGGGUGGGCUUGGCUUGGC